UACAGAGGGUGCAAGCGUUAAUCGGAAUUACUGGGCGUAAAGCGUGCGCAGGCGGUUUUGUAAGCCAGAUGUGAAAGCCCCGGGCUUAACCUGGGAAUGGCAUUUGGGACUGCAAGGCUUGAGUGCGGCAGAGGAGACUGGAAUUCCUGGUGUAGCAGUGAAAUGCGUAGAUAUCAGGAGGAAUACCGAUGGCGAAGGCAGGUCUCUGGGCCUUACCUGACGCUGAGGAGCGAAAGCGUGGGGAGCGAACAGG
rnacentral:rRNA from 1 species